AGCUUUCUGAAUCCGUGCAGAGACUUCGUCAGAAACCAACCCAUUAGGGUUGAUCAGACCUUCUAGAUAAGUGAAGUU
rnacentral:pre_miRNA from 1 species